AACGAACGCUGGCGGCAGGCUUAACACAUGCAAGUCGAGCGCCCCGCAAGGGGAGCGGCAGACGGGUGAGUAACACGUGGGAAUCUACCCAUCCCUGCGGAACAACUCCGGGAAACUGGAGCUAAUACCGCAUACGCCCUUCGGGGGAAAGAUUUAUCGGGGAUGGAUGAGCCCGCGUUGGAUUAGCUAGUUGGUGGGGCAAAGGCCUACCAAGGCAACGAUCCAUAGCUGGUCUGAGAGGAUGAUCAGCCACAUUGGGACUGAGACACGGCCCAAACUCCUACGGGAGGCAGCAGUGGGGAAUAUUGGACAAUGGGCGCAAGCCUGAUCCAGCCAUGCCGCGUGAGUGAUGAAGGCCUUAGGGUUGUAAAGCUCUUUCACCGAUGAAGAUAAUGACGGUAGUCGGAGAAGAAG
rnacentral:rRNA from 1 species